GACGAACGCUGGCGGCGUGCUUAACACAUGCAAGUUGAACGGUAAGGCCCUUCGGGGUACACGAGUGGCGAACGGGUGAGUAACACGUGGGUGAUCUGCCCUGCACUUCGGGAUAAGCCUGGGAAACUGGGUCUAAUACCGGAUAGGACCACUGCCUGCAUGGGUGGUGGUGGAAAGCUUUUGCGGUGUGGGAUGGGCCCGCGGCCUAUCAGCUUGUUGGUGGGGUGAUGGCCUACCAAGGCGACGACGGGUAGCCGGCCUGAGAGGGUGACCGGCCACACUGGGACUGAGAUACGGCCCAGACUCCUACGGGAGGCAGCAGUGGGGAAUAUUGCACAAUGGGCGCAAGCCUGAUGCAGCGACGCCGCGUGAGGGAUGACGGCCUUCGGGUUGUAAACCUCUUUCAGCACCGACGAAGCGCAAGUGACGGUAGGUGCAGAAGAAGGACCGGCCAACUACGUGCCAGCCGCCGCAGUAAAAC
rnacentral:rRNA from 1 species